rnacentral:rRNA from 1 species
GCCUAACACAUGCAAGUCGAGCGGUAGCACAGAGAGCUUGCUCUCGGGUGACGAGCGGCGGACGGGUGAGUAAUGUCUGGGAAACUGCCUGAUGGAGGGGGAUAACUACUGGAAACGGUAGCUAAUACCGCAUAACGUCGCAAGACCAAAGUGGGGGACCUUCGGGCCUCAUGCCAUCAGAUGUGCCCAGAUGGGAUUAGCUAGUAGGUGGGGUAACGGCUCACCUAGGCGACGAUCCCUAGCUGGUCUGAGAGGAUGACCAGCCACACUGGAACUGAGACACGGUCCAGACUCCUACGGGAGGCAGCAGUGGGGAAUAUUGCACAAUGGGCGCAAGCCUGAUGCAGCCAUGCCGCGUGUGUGAAGAAGGCCUUCGGGUUGUAAAGCACUUUCAGCGGGGAGGAAGGCGUUAAGGUUAAUAACCUUGGCGAUUGACGUUACCCGCAGAAGAAGCACCGGCUAACUCCGUGCCAGCAGCCGCGGUAAUACGGAGGGUGCAAGCGUUAAUCGGAAUUACUGGGCGUAAAGCGCACGCAGGCGGUCUGUCAAGUCGGAUGUGAAAUCCCCGGGCUCAACCUGGGAACUGCAUUCGAAACUGGCAGGCUAGAGUCUUGUAGAGGGGGGUAGAAUUCCAGGUGUAGCGGUGAAAUGCGUAGAGAUCUGGAGGAAUACCGGUGGCGAAGGCGGCCCCCUGGACAAAGACUGACGCUCAGGUGCGAAAGCGUGGGGAGCAAACAGGAUUAGAUACCCUGGUAGUCCACGCUGUAAACGAUGUCGAUUUGGAGGUUGUGCCCUUGAGGCGUGGCUUCCGGAGCUAACGCGUUAAAUCGACCGCCUGGGGAGUACGGCCGCAAGGUUAAAACUCAAAUGAAUUGACGGGGGCCCGCACAAGCGGUGGAGCAUGUGGUUUAAUUCGAUGCAACGCGAAGAACCUUACCUGGUCUUGACAUCCACAGAACUUAGCAGAGAUGCUUUGGUGCCUUCGGGAACUGUGAGACAGGUGCUGCAUGGCUGUCGUCAGCUCGUGUUGUGAAAUGUUGGGUUAAGUCCCGCAACGAGCGCAACCCUUAUCCUUUGUUGCCAGCGGUUAGGCCGGGAACUCAAAGGAGACUGCCAGUGAUAAACUGGAGGAAGGUGGGGAUGACGUCAAGUCAUCAUGGCCCUUACGACCAGGGCUACACACGUGCUACAAUGGCAUAUACAAAGAGAAGCGACCUCGCGAGAGCAAGCGGACCUCAUAAAGUAUGUCGUAGUCCGGAUUGGAGUCUGCAACUCGACUCCAUGAAGUCGGAAUCGCUAGUAAUCGUAGAUCAGAAUGCUACGGUGAAUACGUUCCCGGGCCUUGUACACACCGCCCGUCACACCAUGGGAGUGGGUUGCAAAAGAAGUAGGUAGCUUAACCUUCGGGAGGGCGCUUACCAC